CGAGACCCUGGAACGAGCUAUGAAUCUCGUGAACACAAGGUAUGAGUGGGUUCUCGUGUGGUAUAUGGGGAGACCGAUAGUCUUUUCAUAUUAGUAAAAGGUGCCAGUAAAGAGGAAGCGUUUAAGAUUGGAAAAGAAAUGGUUGAUGCUGUUACUGCAGAGAAUCCUAAACCUGUGAAACUAAAGUUUGAAAAGGUAUAUAUGCCUUGUGUUCUUCAAACAAAGAAACGUUACGUUGGUUAUAUGUACGAAACAUUAGAACAGAAAGAUCCAGUGUUUGAUGC